CAAAACUAUACACUCUAGUACAGCAUUUUUUACUGAUAAAAGAAAUGUAUUUAGCAUAAUUUCUUCAUGUUUGCAGGUCUGAUGCUCUCAAAUCCAUGCUUCAUAAAACAUAUGGCUUUUUCAGGAAAGAGUAUGUCUUUCCUGUUACUCUCUGGCAGACUCUACAAAAUGAAGAUUCAUGUUCUUAAUCACAGAGAUGUUUUUAAAGAGCUUCUGCUGUAACAAGUGACUCCCUCAGUGUCUGUAUAACACAAGAAAUGUUUCACCAAGGUUUCUUUGUUCAGAAAAUACUUAUCAAUGAGAAAUAAACUCUUUUUCUCUUUUGUUUCU